rnacentral:tRNA from 1 species
GGGCCCGUGGCCUAGCCAGGAUAGGGCGGCAGCCUUCGGAGCUGCAAAUCGGGGGUUCGAAUCCCUCCGGGCCCGCCA